rnacentral:lncRNA from 1 species
AGAACUUGGGACGCUCAUGGAUCCCCGCUCCGCGGCAGCCCUAGGUGGUGGCCGCGCUAGGGGACUGUUCCUCGGCUCUUUCUGCCUUCCUUUGACGGUGCGAGCCAUUCAUUAUUUUCCCUGAACUUACAGUUUUGUGUUAAGGAACCGGAAGGUGUCAGAUCAUCCAUUUUAAAUGCAACUGUUCUUUCUAACAAGUUUUUCUUUCCUGCCCAGCAAACCCAACUGUAUAAAUAACCAAUAUGAAGUCGGUGUAACUCUUCAAGUUCGUAAAUUGUGUCGAUGCUUUAACUCACAUUGGAUGCAGACAACUCCAGAUUCUUCAGCAAUUGUAGCUCCCUAAUUAAUAUUAACUCCACGGAGGAAGAUUCCCC